UACCUGGAAAAACUUUGUAAAACUGUGCAAGGUACAGCAUUUGUUGCUGCUAAUAAUCUAGAUGCCCACUCUCUUGCAGGAUUUCUGGAGAGCGUCUGCAAGUUGAUGACCACUUGCAACCAAACACCAAAAAGCAGUCAGUUACCAUCUUGAUUGUAGUUCAUUUUUCAAACCACCAGUUGAGAUCUCAAAGGUGACCCCAAUUUUGCUUACCUCUUUCCCCAUGAAUGUUCAGAGUGAAAUUACUGCAUCAGUCUGGAUCUGUUCUUGAUGCAUUUUCUGUCAAUUUAGAUGGAAUCAAGGAUCAUCCAGGCAUGAUUCUCUGUUCUGGGUCAUGAUCAGGUCUCCCUGAAUUUGCACAUAUUGAUAAGAUUGUUCUUGCUAACACAGAAAUUUCAUUUGUUUGUCACAAAAUUACAGCCUGGUACUGUGAGCACUUGAGAUCAUACUCAGUUCUCUGCAGGGAUGUGACCUCAAUGUGUGUAGUUAGGAUUUCAGAGCUGAAUGAUGUGUUCCGAUUAUCAGCAUACGGUGCAAGGAGAACUUAUGGUGACUCUAAGACGAUAUGUUUUCUGCUAAAAAAUUAUUUAUUGUUCCCUAUAGGGAUGUGCAACAGAAGUUAACCAUUAGAGUUAUUAUCUCAGAGGGAGAUAUAAGAAAAAUUAUUAUGACACCAAAGCCUGACAGACUUGAAGAUUUGAUUGAGUGGCUCACAUGCACUCUCCCAACAAAUUACACCUUUUUCCAAUACCAAGAUCCUGAAUUUAACAAUGAACUCUGCAAUCUUACAGAUCUUUCUGAGCUUCAAGAUCAGCCAACCAUCAAAAUCCAAUAAAUGAGCUUAUACCGGUAUCUGCACAAAAUGAAUGUAUUAGUGAAAAAAGCAGCCAGGCACACACAGAGAUACUCUAUGUAUGUUCUCUGGAUAGAAGUUGUCAGGGCCAUAGAUAUGUAUAUAAAGGCUAGAUGGCUCAAGGCGGAGUCAGCUGUGUCGUCACUUGGCGGCCAUCUUAGGUCAGUGCUGCCAUAGUGCUGCUCCCUGCUGCUGUGGACGGAAGGUGAGUGACAUACGCCAACUAAAAUGCUCGUAACUUGCUGAAUUCUUGACGGAUUUACAAACGGUUUGGUUUUUUACAAACGUUAUUAACGUGGCUAUAAUUAUGGAUGCUUUAACAUGUUUCAUGAAUUUUUUAUUUAUUUUUAGUGUACAUAUUCAGUGUCAUAGGUACAUCUUUGACGUUUAUAACAAACCAAUCCGUUUGAAAAUCGGUAAAAAAUUAAGCAAGUUAUGGUCAUUUAAAAGUACCUGCAUCAUUAAAACUCAAUGCUACGAGUGAGCGAGCGCCCUGUCCUAAGAUGGCCGCCAAAAAUGCGGACGUUCAACUCAAUUGGCCAUCAGCGCGGACGAGCCAUCUAGCCUUUAUAUACAUAUCUAUGGUCAGGGCCAGAUCCAUUGAGCAUUCCAAAAUUUUCAGUGGAUCUCGAGUAUCCACUUUCUUCAAGGCAACCUACUGUAUAUGAGGGAUGAAACAAAUCUUAAAGUCUCGAAAUAGAUGAAACAUGAUAUUCUGGAGAAACUUGCUGAGACCAUAUAAGUUUAAAGCAACUCUGACAAAAAAUAAUUUGAAGCUGUCACCAAAGCCUUGAUACAAACCCACCCAUGUCUUAAAUAGAUAGGCUCAUGCUCUGGUUGGGAAGGAUGGAAAAAUAGCUUAAAAUUCCAGAUGGGAUAUUAGAGAAACAAAAUGCGCCAGACUUGAAGUCACUGUCAAUGCUGGUAAGCAGGGGAGGAACACUACAAUUGGCAACCCUACCAACAAAGACAUAAAGAAGCCAAGGAAAGGGGAAAUACACCUGAAAAUCUAGAAGGAAUGGAUGACCACAAUUUAGAAGGAGUAUGAGAAGUCCUUUUCAAUGAAAUGAAGAAGACAAAGCCAAAUGGAUCCCUCGUCAAGAAACACAUGGACCCAUUAUUUGCUCUUCACAGAAAAGAAGUUGUUAACGACAAGCCUCACAUAAGCCAUGUGAUUAUUCGAUGGCCAGCUCUUUUUACAGAAAGUUAGAGAUUUUGCCUCUGACGUCAUCCGUGUUCUCGUAAGCUGCUCGCGUUGAGUUCUUCGCCUCAAGAUGACAGAUCGGUCGCUUCAUGCGGUGCUAUUUCAAAUAAGAUGAUGGACUGGGAGUGCAGGGUGUGCAAAAAGAUUCAUCGUUCAAGACUCCACCUCCUCAGACACUAUAGACUACAACAUAGAGACUGCUCAAAAAUAAGUCCACUUCCAUAGUUGAAGGACGCUUACUGCUGAGUCCAAAGAGGUUCAUACCAGUUACACAUAAUGGACAGAAGUGAAAGCACAUCUGUAAGCAUUGACUCUUGUGCAAUGAUGCUACGUGUUGUUCAAGCUGAUCGUGCAAGGGAAAUUAAAUUAAAAAACACCCCUGUUUAAAAGAGCCAGGCUCUGACACUGGUUGGAACGGCUGGAAAACAAGCAUUAAGUUUAAGAUGGGCAACUUGAGAAGCAAAAUGAGGAAAAUUGGGUGUCUCGAAGUUUCUGUGAAUGCUGGGAAAAGAAGCCAAACCCACCCUGAGAAUGAACCAUCACAUUCCAAAAUAAAGAAACCAAGGUGUUCUGAGGUUAACUAUUUGCCUAACUUUCCUGUGGGGGAGGAUGAAGCAUCGCUGGAAACAAUACGACAAGAAAUUGCCUUAGAAGUAGAGAAGAGAGAAAUAAACCUUAGUCUCAUCCACAAGAAAAUGGAGAAAACAUUUGCUCUAAGACGGCAGACCAUAGUUAACACCAGCCCAUCGGUAAAAGAUUUUCUGCAUCUCUGGCCUGCACUGUGUGUAACAUCUGAGGUAAAUAAUGAAUUAGUUGUACUGUAUAUCUUGCUAAAUGUCAUGUGAUGUGAAUUAAUUUCACUAAAUUCUUUUUUGUAUAAUUCCGCUGUUUGCGGAGUACCAACGUGUUACCAAUGAGAACCUGCCCCACAAUUUCUACACACGACUGGACCACCACUUGCCUCGUUUAAUGACCAUUUUUCGACAAAAAGCAUCCAAGACUGGCAAGACCGCAGAUGCAUUAACAAAUCUUUUAAGAGUGCAUGAUGGACAGGAACAGCAUGAUGUGAACGCGACGAACUACUGUUAUUAGAGCUAUUCCCAUCUUGCUGCUUGACAAUGACUUGGAGUUCUUCAGGACCUCCCUGAUGGAAAGAUGAUUAAAAGAACUGGAGCGAAUACAUACCAAUGUGGGGUUUGUGCGAAACAAUUUACUCAAAGAAGUAGUUUAAGCAGACACCAGCGAGUUCAUUCGCAUGAAAAACCUUACAAAUGCUCUCAGUGUAAUAAAACCUUUUCAUACGCAUCAUCGUUGACAACCCAUAAGAGAGUUCACAAUGGAGAGAAACCCUACAAAUGUGCAAAAUGUGGAAGGAGUUUCUCAGAAUCAUCGAAUCUGAAAAAACAUGAACAUCUGCACACUGGAAAGAAACAACACACCUGUGUUAUCUGUGAACUUUGCUUAUCGUGUGAACGUUCCAAGAUGGCAGCAUCCUUGUAUUGUCUGUAAAACGUGUUUUAGUUUUUAUAUUUUACAUUUCAUAUUAGUCGUUCUUUUGUUCUUUUAUCUUCGGUGAUCAAUAGUUUUAUGGAAUAGUUGCGAGGGUUUUAAUAUUUUAAUAUUUUUAAUAUUUUAAAUAUUUUGUAAUAGUUAUUGGCUUUGCUGUAUUUUGCUAUAACGUGCCGGGUACCGAGUUUUAAAGAUUUCACCUAUUUCUGCUACCAAUGAAUGCUGAGCAUGGAGUUUUAAGGAUAUACCUUUAUUCUUUUGAAGGGAGGUGCACUAUUUUAAUAUUGUAUUUUAAGUAAACCUCUUUACUAGACGUGGUGAGUUGUUUACUGCUGUAUUUUUGUUUUCUGACGACUUUUCCCGGCGCGGGUGUGGUACGUUGGCCGUCCCAUCUGGGUAUGCCGGGCUUUGAUGUCGCUACGAGCGAGGGGAAGUCGCCGGUUCACCGGGUUUAAAGUUUUCACGUCCCAUAUUAAAGGAAAGUGUUUAUUCCAUAUAAGCGCACUUGCUCGGUGCUUUGGAUUUCAAGAUAUCCUUCGCAGUUUUUGAUAGUGUCCCCUUUUCUGUUGGCUUUUCUUCCUGUGGACCGUGGUUUGGCGUGGUGGAUCUUGUUCCCUAUAUCGUGGCGCUGGGCAGCGUUUCGUGGAAGAAGGCGAUUUGGGGCGCAUUUUCAUCAACAAGGAAAGACUUAUCUUGAUUACUCUUGUGUUUAUUACCUGUGGAUUUUAGAACAAUGCGGAACGUACAUUUUAUCUGCGCUGCACUGGCGGUUUCACUCCGUUUAAUAAUCAACCUGGGAAACGGCAACAACAGGUAUGACUCAAUCUCCUUUUCACACUAUGAAUUCCCUGUUGUCUUAGAAUUGUCUAACUUGACAAGUACAGGUGUGUAUACAUAUGUAUAUGUUGCACGGGAUCACCAUCUGAAGUUAUUGCUUUCAAAUUUUGUGUUUGAUGAUUUCAUGCAUUUUUAUACAGAAACUGAAUAUUGCAUGGUGAAGUACUCCACUUUUUUAAUCUCAUCUGCUAGAAAUGUAAGUAAGACGGUGAGACGACGGAGUUUUAUAAUUCUUAUGUUACUCAUAUCUGGAAAUGUUUCUCCAAACCCUGGUCCAUUUAAUGAUUGUGGUCCCACUUUUAAAGUUCCAGUUGAUUUUAGAUGUAGAUCAGGUCUGGGUUUUAUUCACAUGAAUGUGAGAAGUCUGCUCCCAAAAUUGGAUAUGGUGCGUAUUUGGGUAUUAAAUACAAGCCCUGAUGUUUUAGUAAUAUCUGAAACAUGGCUUAAUAGGACGGUUUCAGAUAAAACCAUAGGCAUAGAUGGUUAUACUGUUUAUAGGGCUGAUAGACCAAAGAGGGGAGGGGGGGUAGCUGUUUAUGUUAAGGACAGAUUUGAAGUCUCACUGCUACUAUCUGAGUCGGUUGUAAACAAAUAUGAAUUAUUAGCCUUGAAUCUUAUUGUUUCUAAAACUUUGCAUCUUACUUUAGUUGGAUGUUACAGACCUCCAUCAGCUAGCAAUGAUGCUAUUUCCUCUUUAAUGCAUGCAGUGGCCUCUUUGAAUUAUAAGGAGUUAGUACUUAUGGGUGAUUUUAAUGUGAACUGGUUACAGCCGGUAUCUGAUAGUUUUAAAGCAAUCUGUGAUACGUUGAAUCUCUUUCAGUUAGUAGAGACCCCUACCAGACCAAACUUGAAGGAUCCUAAAAAGUCCACAUUGAUUGAUUUAAUUUUUAGUAACACCCCCCAUAAGUACUCUUCAGCCUUAGUAUUUGCUAAUGAUGUUAGUGAUCAUUGCGUCAUUGCUACAGUUAGAGAUACUAAGUUACCAAAAUAUAAGCCUCGUAUUAUUACAAGACGAUGUUUGCGGCAUUUUAGUGAGCAAGGUUUUCUUUUUGACUUGGCACUGUAUAACUGGGACAGGAUUUACCUCAUUCCGGAUGUUGAGUCCGCUUGGAAAUAUUUUUAUGAAGGUUUAAUGUUGUCUAUUAAUAAGCACGCCCCUUUUAAAAAAUUCCGAGUUAAAGGUAGAGAUAACCCCUGGUUUUCUGAAACACUAUCUGCUCUUAUUCGUGAGCGCGAUGUUGCUUGGGCUACAGCAAGACAAUCCGACUCCUGCUCAGAUUGGAUCUGCUUUAGGCAGCUUCGAAAUCGGUGUACUGCUGCUAUUAGAAAAGCUAAGGCUGAUUAUUUUAUUGCGAACACUGCUAGCUCAAACAAUUCGAAGAAAUUUUGGCAGAGUAUAAAAUUGUUAAGAGAUGGUAAAAAUAGCUCUAGUUUUCCUUCAUGUAUAAAAAUGGAUUCCUAUAGUAUUUCAGAUAAAGAGCAGAUGCUCACGUGUUUUAACAAACAUUUUGUUGCAUCUGGUGCUUUGUUUGACACUCAAAAUAAAACAGCUAUGGUUUGUAACUCAGAUUUUAUAAAUGCAGAAAGUCAUUUAAAAAAGGAGAAGUUUAGGUUUAGACAAUUCAGGAGUUCAGAUGUUUAUAAAGCACUCAGAUUGUUGGACACAAAUAAGUCAUCAGGCCCUGAUCAAGUAGACCCCUUCUUUUUAAAACUAGCUGCAGAUAUUUUAACUUCCCCGUUAACUUAUAUUUUUAAUCUCUCACUAAAUACUGGUGCUGUUCCGGAAAUUUGGAAAUCCGCUUUUGUUUUACCUCUACUAAAAGGGGGAGAUCCUGCGGUGUUAGAUAAUUAUAGACCAAUUUCGAAGCUUUGUGUUUUAUCUAAGAUCUUAGAAAGUUUGAUUAGCGAACAGCUUACAUGUUAUUUGAAUACAAACAAAGUGCUGUCUAUAAAUCAAUCUGGUUUCCGCAAAAAACACAGUACCACUACAGCUGUUUUGAAAGUUUUAAAUGACAUAGUGGGUUCAAUUGAUAAAGGUAAUUUCUGUGCCUCUCUCUUUAUUGAUUUAUCUAAGGCUUUUGACACGGUGGACCAUGAUAUAUUGUUGCAGAGAUUGAAAAGUGUUGGUUUAUCAAGUAACGUAAUUUCUUGGUUUAAAAAUUAUUUGAGUGGUAGAACUCAAUGUGUCCAAAUUGAAACUUGUCUAUCUGGGUCAUUAGUUACUGUUAAAGGUGUUCCCCAAGGAUCCGUGUUGGGGCCCCUUUUAUUCACAAUUUAUAUUAACAGUCUUGAUCAUGACAUACAAGAUGUUAAUCUCCAUUUUUAUGCAGAUGACACGGUCCUGUAUUGUAGUGCUUCUUCUGUGCAGCAAGCUCUGUGUAAACUUCAGUCAGCUUUUAAUGUCAUUCAGUCAAGGCUUUUCAAUUUAAAGCUUGUUCUGAAUGGUGAGAAAACUAAAUAUAUGGUGUUCUCGGGUUCAAAGAAAUUUGAUACGAAGUUGAUUUCUCUCCAGACAUUACAAGGUUCAAUGCUUGAAUUAGUUAAAGAGUACAAAUAUCUUGGCAUUAUUGUUGACGAUACUUUAUCAUUUGGCUCUCAUAUUAUGCAACUGAAGAAAAAAAUGAAAAUUAAGCUUGGGUUUUAUUUUAGAAACAAGUUUUGUUUGUCAUUUAAUGCGCGAAAGAAAUUGAUUUCUGCUACAUUUUUAUCUGUACUUGAUUAUGGUGAUGUAGUAUAUCAGUUUGCUCCAAUUUCUAUUCUGUCUUCCUUAGAUGCUGUUUAUCAUGGCGCCCUUAGGUUUAUAUUAAAUUGCAAAUCUUCUGUGCAUCAUUGCACCUUGUAUAAAAGUGUGGGCUGGCCCUCUCUGUCCAGUAGGAGAAAAAUCCACUGGUACUUAAUGAUUUAUAAAGCUAUCUUGGGGAUGUUACCUUCGUACCUUUGUAGAUUAAUACAGCAUAAUUCUGUUACAAAAUAUUCUUUACGCUCUCAAAACUGCUAUAUGCUGUCAGUUCCUUUUGCUAGAACUGAAUUGGGUAAGAAAUCUUUUGCAUAUGCAGCACCGUUCGACUGGAAUUUCAUUCAAUCGAAAUUGAAGUUGCAAAACCUUCCAUCUUUUGACCAGUUUAAAGCAGAUAUUUGGCAACUGAAUGACGAUUCUGAGAAAUGUAACUGUUUUUAAAUUUUGUUUGUGAUAUGUAAUUGUUGUAAACUGUUUUGUGUUGUGUAAGUCUGUUAUUGAAUUUCUUGUAUUGCUGCUCAUCUUGGCCAGGUCACUCCUGUGAAUGAGAUUUUUAAUCUCAGUGAGUUUUUUUCACCUGGUUAAAUAAAGGUUUAAUAAUAACAAGUCUUUUAGUCGAAUUGACUUUCUUUUUUUACAAUCAACAAAAUUUAUUUCGGUCCUCACACAUAAUUUCCAAAACAUUUGAAUUGACUAUUUAAUUCAACACAGGAGGAUCCAUAAUGAUGAAAAACGUUACAAAUCCUCUCAG